AUUGAACGCUGGCGGCAGGCCUAACACAUGCAAGUCGAGCGGAUGAGGGGAGCUUGCUCCUGGAUUCAGCGGCGGACGGGUGAGUAAUGCCUAGGAAUCUGCCUGGUAGUGGGGGAUAACGUCCGGAAACGGGCGCUAAUACCGCAUACGUCCUGAGGGAGAAAGUGGGGGAUCUUCGGACCUCACGCUAUCAGAUGAGCCUAGGUCGGAUUAGCUAGUUGGUGGGGUAAAGGCCUACCAAGGCGACGAUCCGUAACUGGUCUGAGAGGAUGAUCAGUCACACUGGAACUGAGACACGGUCCAGACUCCUACGGGAGGCAGCAGUGGGGAAUAUUGGACAAUGGGCGAAAGCCUGAUCCAGCCAUGCCGCGUGUGUGAAGAAGGUCUUCGGAUUGUAAAGCACUUUAAGUUGGGAGGAAGGGCAGUAAGUUAAUACCUUGCUGUUUUGACGUUACCAACAGAAUAAGCACCGGCUAACCUCGUG
rnacentral:rRNA from 1 species